rnacentral:lncRNA from 1 species
AGGUCAUCCAUACUUGACACACUCCACACGAGAGCAAACUAAGGAGCCCGAGACGCCGACUCCUACAUCUGAGUCGUCGAUUCUCCUCCUCUUCUGCAGGUAUUUGACGUAGAGCGUGCGUCGUGUACUCCAAAGCCUCUGGCCCUCCUCGCAACUCCGCAAGCCUCCUGGUAGCAGAUUACGUGCUUCAUCAGCUGGCGCCGUCUGUGGGACUAACGAACUACAAUAUCCCGUCGUAAUCGCGAAAUUUUCUUUGAAAGUUCGGCUCGAUUCCCUUGGGGUGAAUCGCUGACUUUGUGUCAAGGAAUCGUUGAUUCAUACCAACAAUCGCCAACUCCACCUAGUGAGUCGUCGAUUCCAGGAUAAGUCUGCUAGGUAAGAAUGUUGUCCACGACUUGGUUCAAAAUGCCCAUAAGUUCACUACAAAAAAAAGGGCCUUAUAUGGCGGAUUUCCCCCAUCUAAAGUGAUAGUCGGCGGAAAUCCGCCAUCUAUUAAACAUCCCCAUUUUCCACCAAAAAUUGUAUAGAUGGCGGAAAUCCGUCAUCUAAUCUGAAAAUUUUCGCGGGAACUGAAAAUUUUAAGAUGGCGGAUUUCCGCCAGAUAAAAUAUGGUGCGGAAAAAGUUUAGAGCCAAUUCAUUGAUGGUGGUUAAUUUUAUUGAUGACGAAUGUCCG